ACAUGCCUAUAGAAUAACGUUAAUGCACCGUAUCCCAUUAGAACUCUGUAGUUAAGCGUGCUCAGGCUAGAGUAGUACUGGGAUGGGUAACCGCCUGAGAAGUCCUAGUGUUUUACAUGCC
rfam:Picea glauca, whole genome shotgun sequence.